UACAAUGUAAAAAAAUAUGACAAAGAAACUACACAAGAAGAUGAUGAUUUUGGCAAUGUUUCAGAAAAGAAGAUAAAUCAAACUUCACAAUACCAAGACCGGAUGAAAGUUAAUAGUAAGAACAAAGGUAAGAGUCAACAUGAAAAUAAUUCCAGUACAAGAGAAUUGUUUUAUCUGAAUCUUCUUUUAAAUAAGAUCAAAGGAUCGAGAAGCUACGAGAAUAUACGAACUGUUAAUGGAUUUUUGUAUCCUACCUUUGAAGAGGCCUAUAAUGCUCUUCUUAUUUGAACUACAUUUUAUCUAUAUAAAAUCUCUCUUUUUCAGUUAUUUAUUUAUUGGUAGAUGCAAAACUAUUUUAUAACGUGGGCAUUCAUUAAUUAUGAAAAUAUAGUCAUGUUUAUAUAUUGUUAUGUGUUGUAUGAUUCUGGCUUAUGAGGGAUAUAUUAUCAUAUACAAAAAAAUACAUACAAAUAGUCUCAUGAGUCAUCUUAUGUUGUGGCAUUGAAUUAAAUAAUUGUUUUGGUUAUCUUAAAUAAUAGCUAAAAGUAACACAAGUGGUUUCCUAAGGUUAACUUAAAUAUUUUUUUUUGAAUAUCUUAUAUAAAUUAAUGUAACAAUAAAUUAAUUUAACAAUAAGUACCCACGUUGGUAAUUCCACAAAAUAUUUUCUGAUUAGUCUCAACUUCCCAUCAUCACACAAUUUUUUGUUUUACGCCCAUCACACGAUCAAAACAUAUACUCCCUAUCUUGCUAAAAUAUUCAUAUUCUAGAUUUUUCACACAUUUUAAUAAAACAGAUUAAAUUUGCAUAUUUUUGUGUUUAUUUUUUUCUCAUAAUUUUAAGCCAAUAAGAAAUCAAUUAGUGCAAUUAAAUUUUUUGAAAUUUGCAAUUAGUUAAUAAAACAUAUAUUAAAAAUGUAAAAAAUGGAUUUUUUUGAAACAAGAAUUUUCUCUAGAAUAUGUAUUUUUACGGAACGGAGGGAGUAUUAGUUUACAUAUAAUUAUCUCUCUUUUCCCCAUCGUUUCAUCUUCCCCUUUCUAUUUCUUCACCAUCGUUGUUAACGCUCUGUUCCAGGUUUAUGAUCCAUCUUUCAAUUUUCUUAUAAUAGUUCUUCUCUUCUUCUCUAAUACAUUAUCCGAUCUCUCUUUCUGCAGAAUUCAUAUUGAAGAUGCCACUGGAGUAUACUCCUAUUUCUCAGCUCAAUUCAUCUCAAAAAGAAUGGAAAAUCAGAGUGCUGCGGAUUUGGGACUUUCAUUCUAAACAUAAACCUGAAGUUGUUCUCGGAAUAGAAGCUAUCCUUGUGGAUGAAAAGGUGUACACACUUUGAUUUGGAAAAUAUGUUGCAGAUUACAUUAAUCAGUGUUUGCUUAAAUAGGCGAAUUUUCUUAAUAUAUGUUGUAGACUCAUGAAAUAUUGAUAUGCUUGCAUCAUUUUCAUACUUGACAGGGAGAUAGGAUUCAAGCUUCUGUGAAACAGAAGUUGAUUAAAAAAUACGAAAGGGAGUUUAAAGAAGGAGAGUAUCUUGAUGUUAUGAAUUUCGAGGUAUUGGGUAACAAUGGUGAUUACAGAGGAACCACGCACCCUUACAAGAUAAAUUUCAUCUGGACUACAUAUGUGAAGUCCUCUGAGUAGAUUCCAAAUCUAUCCCGCUUCAACUUAAGCCCUUUUCCAGAUAUUUUAUCUCAGUCAAAUGUUGAUGAUGUCUUCAUAGGUAUGUUCUUUCUUGUAAGUUGUACAUAUUUCAAUAGAUAGUGAAGUUAGUACAUAAUUUCCCAUUCAUUAAUAAGCUAAUCUUUGCUUACUUUCCUUUUUUUCGGUAGACAUACUGAAAUUGUUGGCAUGGGUGAAAUUACCGAAAGAAACUAUGCUGGAAAUUCAACAAAACUGUUGGAUAUUUAAUUACGAGAUCUGAGGUUAGUUGUAUUUUAAAUAUUUUAGUUAUGUUUGUAUUGGCAGUUACACCCAGUUGUUCUUACAUUACAUUAUCAAAACUUUGGUUGCAUAUUAAUUCUGUGGUUUUAAUUAUAGUGAAACAAUCAUCGAAUGCACAUUAUGGGAAAAACAUGCUGAGGAUUUGCACUCUUAUGUGAAGAACAACAAAACUGGUCCAGUUAUCUUGCUUGGAAGUCUUAUGAGGACGAAAAGAUACAAUGGUAACCAAUUUAAACUUUAAAAGUACAUAUAAAAUAAUAAAAAGAUUUAAUAGUAGUAUAACAUAUCUAUCUUUUAUAAUUAGGUAAAAUAUCAGUUCAAAACUCACGCUUCUCUACAAAGCUUUUCCUUAAUGAAGAUAUAGAUGAGAUAAGUGCAUUUAAGAAAGGGUAAGUUUAUCUUUUAUUUUACAUAUUUAUCUUCUUUGGUGAAUAUUGUUUACUAAGUCUUUCAACUUAUUUACAGGAUGGCGAGUGCUGAUACUUUGGCUCCGUUUACGGUUUCUCCAAUGGUCCCACCCACCAGAAAUAAAAAAGACGUUGAAUCAUUCCCAUUAAGCUGCUGGAAAACUAUCGAUCAGAUAGCAUCAACUAUGGAGGUACAAAUAAUAUGUUAAACAAUACUAUACACACAUUAGCCAUCCUGAAUUUUUUUUUUCAUUUAACAUUAGGAAAGCACUUGUGUUACUUUCGCAUCUAUCGUAGCAUUUCAAAAGUAAUGUCGUUGGUGGUAUGUUGGGUGCAAAGGCUGUUGUUCAACAGCGCAACCAUAUUUCAAUCCAGUGACUGAGCAAAUUGAGGCCAACAAAUAUUCAUGCGACACUUGCGAGAAGGAUGAAAUCACCACAAUUUUAAGGUAAUAUUAUGUGCUAUAUAAGUAGUAAUUCAAUAUUUUACUUCACUGUUAUAAUCCUAUAUACAUGUUUUAAUCAGGUACAAAGUGCAAGUCAAAGUAGCUGAUCAUACUGGAAGUACAUGUUUUAUAUUAUUUGAUAGAGAAGUUAUACAGCUCAUUCAUAAAUCUGCAUAUGAAUUGCUUGAACAACAAGUGCAGGUGUGCUUUCCAUUAUUUCUUCAUAUAUUUCAUGUACGAUCAGUGCCGGCAGGUCUGAAUGAGUUAAGAAAAUCUCACACAUAUUUGUCUCACUUUUUUUUUGUAGUUUAACCGUGAGGGUGAAAUUCCUCAAGAACUGAUGGAUUUGGAAGGAAGAAAGUUUGCUUGGAUAAUUCGUGUUAAGGGUACAGAGAAAAAUUACAAGCAACCAAGUUUUAAAGUUUUUAAACUCACUGAUAAGCCUGAAGUGAUCCAUAAGUUUCAAGAUAAUGUGACAAUGGAGGUAUGUUUCAAUAAAUUCGAAUUUAUAAAUGCAACUAAUUCUAUGUCCUUUUCUAGAUCAUAACUUUGUUUUAAAAAUUUAGGUUACUACACAUCCAGAUUUGGCUAUAAGUUCAAGUACAUGUUCUGCAAUGCAGGUUAUUUUUACUCAGAGUACUUAGUUCAUAAUUGUUUAUACUAUAAAUAACAUGACUAAAUGGGAUUGCAUGUACAUUUACUACAGGUGGAGAAUACAUCUUCAGAAGCAAAUGACAAUGAUUUACCAUCUUGCUCUCCUAUGACUCCAACCACAAAGAGACAACGAAGUCAUAGUAUUGAUGAUGAGGGAAUUGAAGAAUCAUCAACAAAGCCUAAGGGAACGUCUAAAAUGGCUAAAGCAGAAAGUGGUAAAAAAGUAGGAAACUUGAAGAAGGAAAGCACAAAGGCAAAGCAUUAAGAGGGUGAGAAGGUAAAAUGAUCUUGUGUUUAAUCUAAAGUUAGUUUGUACAGAGUAUGCUGUCUUUGAAACCGUGGAUAUUAAUCUUUAGUUACGCAAUUGUAUUUAAUUUCCAAGUCACUUUUAUUUCAAGUAAUUUUCACUUAAGUUUUAUUCUGGUGACAUACUGGUCGUGCAGAUUCAACCCUAAUCUCUUCCUUUAUCUUUCUAAAGAACUCAAAGAACUUCAUGUUCAUGGCCCAUCAGAUUCAUCAUAUUUCUCUCUCUUCUUACUCUUCUUAGGUUUAUUGAUUUUUUAUAGUAACUUCCUCUGCAAGAAAUAUUCAGUAUCUCUAUGAUGAUCAGAGGAAUAUUCUAGCUCCAGCUAGGUAGAGAUCUCCCUAACAAAAGGCUUAAUCAGUUUUGCAAAUAACAUUCCUUUAUAGUUUAUUAGGAAGCGAUCAAAACAGAGUUUUUGGCCACAAACACUAAGAGACCAUUGGAGAAGAUGAACAUGUAUAUUUAAUCCGUGAAAAACUGGUAUUAUAUGGCCAUAGAUGGUCAGGUUCAUACCUUUGACCAGUUGGUUCGGACUGUUUCAUCUCCGGUAAAAAAAUAGAUAGAAGGAAAGCCUUUAGAUCGUUUCCAUAUUUUCGUCUGAAAAUCUCGCUAAUGAUAUUCAUUAGUAGCUUGGUAAUCUGAAUGUGCAAUUGAACGAGCUAAAGGUGCCGUGAUAUCUUUUAUAUAUUAAAGCACAAGUCACUUAACAAAUCGAAUUUUGACAAAUGUAAAAUGUUUUAUUUUUUUAAAAAAGAGUUUGAUUAAAUAAAUUCAUCAUCCCUAAUUUUCAGCUGCUUCAUCCUAAAUUUUCUCAAAUAUCACAUUCACGUUGUUGAAUUGUCAUGAUUUCAUAGAGAAAAAUCUAUAAAAGUUUUUAAAGUAUCAAACUUAGGCAAUGUGACUGUUACAGCUAUUAAUCAGUUUGUUUAAAAAAAAAAUUAAAAUUGACUUAGAAAUUUAGAAAGCCAAGAGCAUAAAUUUUUGCGAUAAAAGAUAUGAACAAUCUUCUAUAUAUUAAAGUACAAGUCGUCUGGCCAAUAAAGAACUGACAUGUGGAAAAAAAAUUAAGAACAAUAAAAACAAUUGAUACGUGGAAAAGGCUUUAAAACCAAUAAUAAUAAAAAAUGGAAUUUUUCUUUGCAGAUCCUAUUCUUAUGUAGUCAAGCUACGUUAAAUUUUUUUUUGCCAUAUUUUAUUUCAUCUCCUAUAUAAAUUAAUCAACAUCCUUCUCAUUUCUAUAACCAGAUUAUACUUCACAAUUUUUAAAGUUCCUAUAGUCAUUUGUCAUUAUUGACAACAACCUAUCUUUAAAGGUGAGAUUUCACAAAUUUCAUAUUCUCAGAAAUCAUCAUCCACAACUUUCUACACAUUAUCAAGGCAUAGAAAGUUUUUUUCCUAACAUAUAAAUUUUCUAUGAGUUUUUAUCCAUUAUAUUUUUAAAUACUUUUUUCAUAUCAGCUGUAGAUGGAGGAAUACAAUGUAAAAAAAUAUGACAAAGAAACUACACAAGAAGAUGAUGAUUUUGGCAAUGUUUCAGAAAAGAAGAUAAAUCAAACUUCACAAUACCAAGACCGGAUGAAAGUUAAUAGUAAGAACAAAGGUAAGAGUCAACAUGAAAAUAAUUCCAGUACAAGAGAAUUGUUUUAUCUGAAUCUUCUUUUAAAUAAGAUCAAAGGAUCGAGAAGCUACGAGAAUAUACGAACUGUUAAUGGAUUUUUGUAUCCUACCUUUGAAGAGGCCUAUAAUGCUCUUCUUAUUUGAACUACAUUUUAUCUAUAUAAAAUCUCUCUUUUUCAGUUAUUUAUUUAUUGGUAGAUGCAAAACUAUUUUAUAACG
rnacentral:lncRNA from 1 species